AGCGAACGCUGGCGGCAGGCCUAACACAUGCAAGUCGAACGAAGUCUUCGGACUUAGUGGCGGACGGGUGAGUAACACGUGGGAACGUGCCUUUAGGUUCGGAAUAACUCAGGGAAACUUGUGCUAAUACCGAAUGUGCCCUUCGGGGGAAAGAUUUAUCGCCUUUAGAGCGGCCCGCGUCUGAUUAGCUAGUUGGUGAGGUAAAGGCUCACCAAGGCUACGAUCAGUAGCUGGUCUGAGAGGAUGACCAGCCAAAUUGGGACUGAUACACGGCCCAAACUCCUACGGGAGGCAGCAGUGGGGAAUCUUGCGCAAUGGGCGAAAGCCUGACGCAGCCAUGCCGCGUGGAUGAUGAAGGUCUUAGGAUUGUAAAAUCCUUUCACCGGUGAAGAUAAUGACUGUAGCCGGAGAAGAAGCCCCGGCUAACUUCGUGCCAGCAGCCGCCGUAACAC
rnacentral:rRNA from 1 species